rnacentral:lncRNA from 1 species
CACAGCACACAAGGAAAAGGGGAGCUGGUUAUUUUUCUUUUUCAAUUCAUCACAAUACACACUAGCACCAUUUUCUUCCUCGCACCAUACACGCAGCUACACGUAAAACACACACAUAAACAGUAACAAGCACACACAGCCACCUCCAUCGAUACACCUCACUCACCAGAGUUCGUGCGCACACACCCAUAAAAAUGCAGAAAAGGAGAGAAUCUGGCAGAGAGAUAGAUAAACGGGGAGAGAGGGAGAGAAAAGGGCCAACGGGGCCAAAAUAUUUUCCCGUCUCCUUCGAUUUUUCUCCAGUGUCGAGCUCUUCGGAGCUCCGACAAAAUGCUAUCAGCGACCCAACUCCCUUCCAUUACCAAAAUCGGCGAUCAGUAGCGCUAUUUCACACCUCCGUUCAAGUUUUCCAUUUGGUCGCUUGAUUUGUCGAUCGAGGUUUGUGAGUUAGUCGUGAUUGAGGUUCCGAUUAGUUUUCAAAUUUGUUUCGGGGUCAAAUUCAACACUAAAUGGAGUUUUGUUCAAAGUCGGUUUAAGUCGAGGUUUCGAAUCCGUGAAGCUCCUCUGUUUGAUUGAAUAAAAACGACAUUAAGGUUCAUUCUUCAUCUCAUUCUCAAUUAAUUCUUAAUUUUGUGAUACUUGGCGUGGUAAAUUCAUGGUGUGUGGAUUUUAUUUUGUUUGAUUUAGAUAUGUCUUGGAUCAUCAUGGUUGGUGUUGAUACCCAUCGAUUGAUUGUUGUGAAUUGAAAUAAUCAAAGAACUUAGACUCGAUUUGGGGUUAAAUCGCAAUUUGUGGUGGUAUCGAAAGUUCGCUAAUUAGCAAUUUCACUUGAUUUAUUUAAUUUGUCAUCUUGAUUGAUUUUGAUGUUGUCAAACGUGGUAGUAGCAUGAUAAGUUAGAAGUAAUAGGCAAAUGUAGGUUGGGUAGGCAAAGUUUAGAAUUUGUGGUUUUGUUGAAUGUUUGAAAGUUCGUUGAGUGGUUUGAUUUUCUUGCCCUAAAAAUGUAUUCAUUUAGCCGGAGAAUGCCCCGAGACACAUUAUAUUUAUUCACCAAAAAUGCUCCGACGUAUUAUAUUGGCAAAAAAUGUUCGUGAUGAAGGCCCGAGGCAUCGGGUAAGCAUUGGAGCAUAGUCUAGGAUUAGUCUAGAAUAGGAUUUAUAUUUUCAUAUUUUCUUAUCUUUGGGACUGUAUAAUUCGGACUGGACAUUAUUUCGGUUUUGAAUUUUGUUUGAUUUAUUUGUUUUCCUAUUUCGUGUGUUAUGGGGUUUAUACACUUUAUAAUGUCAAAUUAGCCGAUAUGCUCACCAAGCGACCAUGGUCGAACCACGAGAUCGAGGGGUUCCUAAUACCUUCCCCUCGGUCAACAGAAUUCCUUUACCGGAAUAUUUGUUCGCAAACCAGUUUUAAAGAGUCAAAUUGUUUUGAAAAUAAUUGUACAAAGGUGACUUGGCAUACCGGAUUAUGCCAAGUGGCGACUCUGAGUUUUGAAUGUAAACAUAAUCCUUUUUUGGAACAAAUCUUCAUUUUGUCACUUUAAUAAUAAAUACCCUUUCGAAACUUAAAACGAAUCUUUUUUUGGUUAAAAAAAGAGUGUGACAGCUCUGGCGACUUUGCUAGGGAUUUUUCAGAAUUCGAGCUUAUUUUGGAGUUAUAUCGGCUUAGUUUGGCACUAUAGGUGUAUAGACAUUUUGUUUGUCCUGUUUUGUGUUAUUGUUUAUCAUUGUUGAGUUCCUACGUGCUCUUUGUUUACAGUUUUUACUUUAUGUGUUACCAUUUUAUAUCUGGCAUCAUGUGCAUAACCCGAGUCUUUCUUUCUGCAACAAGUCCGUAGUAUAGGUGUGUACAUGACUUAUAGUUAAGUCACCCUUAUUUUAGGAGGGGGAGCCGUUGGGUUGUAUGGAGUAGGUGGCCAGCUAAAGUAAGUCACUAUCGACCCAAACAGCCUUAUUAGUAAACCCCAACGUAGGUCAGCCUUUAGGUCAUGCUUAUGUGCAUCAUAUGGAGACCUAGCAGGGCCCACUUAGUCCUUCGUAGGAAACUCACCUUUAAAGCAUCCCUACGUGCUAAAUAUUGCAUCUCUGAGGGUAACGUGGUCAUUUGACAGACCAAUUUGGGGAAAGCAUGUGUUAGAAGUAAAGUCUAUAGAUAAGAAAGUGUAGAAAAAAAAAAGAAGGGAAGAAAAGAAAAGUGAGUCGAAAAAAAAAGAGUUUCAUAGUUUUUAAAUUUCUUUAUGGCUUUUUUUUUUCACAAUUCAAAAAUUCAAAAAAAAAAAAGAUUUUUCUUUACCUUUCGCACUCAUUGUCUGAAAAAAAAAAUCAAAAGAAUUUCUUUUGUUCCUUUACCCUGCAUUCAUAAUUCGAAAAUUUCAAAAAGAUUUUUUAAUUGAAGCUUUUAUAAAGAAAAAAAUGUAAAAAAGAUGGUAGGAGCUUUGUACAUCUCAUAUAACGAAAAUACCAAAAAGAUUUCUUUUCUCUUUCAUAGUUGUUGGUGUCAAUUUUGUGUGAAGUAUCUAAUUGAAAAUCCAAAAAGAUUUUAUUUUCAUCGUUCAUCUGUAAUCGUGUUUCUUAAGUCAAGUCUUAGUUUGUUUUAAUCUUUAAUUGUCCAACCUAGACGAACUACGCACCCCUGAUUCUCCUCUCCCGGGAGUGAGAUACGUAGGCAGCCUAUUGUCGAUUCGGGGAUCUUAUUUCAAAAAUUCAAAAAGAUUUUCUUUACUCCUUAUUUAGAGUAGGUGUCAUAUACUUCUUUAAUAGAAAACUGCAAAAAGAUCUUUCUUUAAUAGUUCCAAUUUUCAUUUUCAUAUGAAAUGCAAAAUUGAAAACCCAAAAAGAUUUUCUUUGGUAAUCAUAGGUUUCAUUUCGUAUAGGAAUCUGAAAAAUGCAAAAAGAUUUUAUUCACGUUUCAUUUAGUGUAGGUGUUUCAUAUACAUCUUUAAGAGAAAACUACAAAAAAGAUUUUUCUUUAAUAGGUUCAAGUUUCAUUGUCAUAGGAAAUGCAAAAUUGAAAACCCAAAAAGAUUUUCUUUGGUAAUCACAGAUUUCAUUUUAUAUAGGGGUAUUAAUGCUGGAAAAAAUUCAAAAAAAAAAGAAGAUUUUUGUCAUUUGUUAUUUUAUUUUUUUCUUAAAGUUUCAAGAAAAAAAAAGUUUGAUUAGCCAUUUUAGCUAAACUUCACGAACUACGCACACCUGAUUCUCCCCUUCCGGGGGUGAGAUACGUAGGGGCCUUUUUAGGGUUCGGUGAUCUUUUAAAAAAAAAGGUCUUGAAAAACUGUUGAACUCUAACACAUUUGCUAUCUCUUGUCCAGUUAGUUUAAGGUGGUUGGUUUGUGGCAUUUUGGCUGGUCCUCCAUAUUGCUCCAAGUCACAGAGAAAGUUAUGGCCAACAAAGAUACCGAGUUUGUUGUCACUAAUCAGAUAGGGAGUUCAGGGAAUGAGAAUGUAGGAGCUAAUAAAGAGAUUUGGAAAUUAAGGCAGCAAAUGAUAGAAAUGCAUCGAGCUUGGGCUAAUGGGUUUUCGCCUCCUCCAUUUCCCACUAAUAAUCUGGAAUAUCUUUCUAGUUUGCCUUCAGUGUCACAUGCACAAUUCCCUAUUUUGGUCGACACGCCACAACAUGCAUCAGGACCUACUCCAGGGCAAUAGUAUCCAAACACUUUCAAUACUCAUUUCCUCACUCCUCAAUACAAAAUUACCACAUGCUCGGCUCCGCCUGCUAUUCAUGCUUUUGCAGCCCCACUCCCAUCUGAAUCUCCUAUUUUUAAUGUCAAUCCAACGGUUGUGAUUCCUCACUCUACAAGUGACCCUGUAUUGAAUAUUUUUAGUGAUCAAUAUUAUGCUCCCAAGCCCAUAUUUAAGUCAACUGGUCCUUACAACUACACUCAACCAUCUGAAUUUUUCUUCUAAAACUGAGACGCCUGUUAUGACAGAAGAACAAGAGGGAAUGGCCAAAAAAUUGAGAAGUUUGGAACUGACUAUGAAAAACUUGCAAGGACUUAAGGGGUACAAAAAUGUCUCAUAUAAAGAUCUGUGCAUCUUUCCAGGUGUACAUCUUUCUCUUGGUUUUAAAAUGCCAAAGUUUGAGAAGUAUGAUGGAUAUGGCGAUCCUGUAGCAUAUUUGAGACGCUAUUGCAACCAGCUAAGGGGCGUUGAAGGGAAGGAAGAAUUACUCAUGGCAUAUUUCGGUGAGAGUCUUUCAGGUCUAACUUUAGAAUGGUUUGUUGACCAAGACAUCGAUAAGUGGCACAACUGGGAUGACCUGGCUAAUGAAUUUGUGCAAUAAUUUCAAUACAAUAUGGAGUUGAUUCCUGAUGAGAAGUCCCUGACUAAUAUAAAGAAAAAAAGUACUAAAACCUUCAGAGAGUAUGCGAUUAGAUGACGUGAACAAGCUGCUAGGGUGAAACCGCCAAUGAAAGAAAGUAAGAUAGUGGACGCGUUUAUUCAAGCGCAAGAUGAAACAUAUUAUCAACACUUGCUUUCUGCAUUAGGCAAAAUAUUUAUUAAGGUCCUCAAAAUGGGGGAGAUGAUAGAGGAUGGAAUUAAGACCAGUCGCAUUGUGAGUUUUGCAACAUUGAAAAUGACUACUCAAGCAAUUCAAAAAGGUUUGGGAAGUAUGGGAGGAAAUAAGAAUGAGGAAGAUGCAUUUGCCAUUGUAGUUAGACAACAGGCACAGGCAAGAGGACCACACCAUCAUUACCUAUGGGCUCAAACCCUAGUUUAUGCCCAAGCUCCACAGAAUAUUUCCCAAAAUCCAUUAUAUUCCAUUCCCCGCCUCCAUAACAAGUGUAUAAUGCGCAACCAUAUGUUUAACCCCCAUCUUACCCAUACUGGCGUGUGCCAACUCUGCCGAGUAAUCCUCCAACUCCACAUACAUACCGAAGCCCUUCUAGGCCUGGUUUUCAAUUUAAGCCAAACAAUGAAAUGAGACAGAAGUCGAGGGAUAGUUUCACACUAAUCGGAGAGUCAUAUGCCAUUUUAUUUUAGAGAUUAAUACAACGGGGUAUAAUCACUUCUCUCCUUAGGUAUACUUCUGACCUGCAUUUAAGAAAUUUUAAUCCAUAUGUACAAUGUGCAUAUCAUUCUAAUAUUCAGGGUUACAAUAUUGAAGAUUUAUCAUUCCUUGAAAAGAGAAAUAGAAAAGAUGAUUCAAGAUAAAUCAAUUAUAGUACAGAACGUUGACAGCGAGGAAAGCUCUAGUCAUGCUGAUAUGCAAACCAUUGGCUAAGAUGUCAGGCUGAGCAAUUGAGAAGUCACCCUUCUUCCUACUAGGAAGAGGUCUAGUAGCUUGUUUUGUUUUAUUUUCUAUUGUCCAAAUUAUUUCAGGGUUGUAGUUCAGGAUCUAUCUUGUUUAGUCUUUUUGUCGUUUAUGUUCAAACCCUUCUAUCUUUUGUUUCAACCAAAUGAAAUGUCCUAUUUUUCUUUGUAUUUUAAACAUGUGUUGCUUGUUUGUUUUCUUUACAUAGUAUAUUUUAUGUUGACUCUAGUGAUAUGACAUGCUAGUGAAAUUUUUGGCCAGAUCUUAAAAUCCUGUUUAAGUAUGAACGUGGAAUUAGAGGGCUAAGGUCGAAAGAAACAUCUUAGAAAAUAGAUAGAGUACUUAGACAUUUGGUGACAAGUUGAAGCCUUUUCUAAAAAUUAAGACAAAUAUUUUAGGAAUCAUAAGAAUAACUCAGCCAUCAAUUGAAAGACUUGUCUCAAUUAGGUCAAACAGUGGCUGCGGGAUUCUAUAUCAAGAUGAACAAAAUGAAAUCAGCUCCACAAAAACAUGAAUCAUUCGAUGUGAGGGAUGCAUAACAAAGGUGUUGUUAUAUGCUGGACAAGUAUAAAAGAAGAAGAAGCGGCAUACAUGUUCAGUUUAAGUUAGUGUUGUUAAAGUGUCACACAUGAUCUUUAUCUCCCAUUUUUCAAUUGCAUGUUCUGUACUUGCAUUCUCAAGAAUUGAUAUGAUGAAGGCAUUUCAUUUUUCUAUCCAAAUAUUGUGUCAUCCUUUGUUUACCCCGUUUGAGCCAUAGCAUUAUUUUCUUUCAUACCCCUCUUUUGGAAUCAAGAUAGAGUCAGCAAAGUUCAAGAAAAAGUGUCGAGUGAAAAAAUAGAGUCAAAAAAAUUUUAGAAAAAAAAAAGAAAAGAAGAAGAAAAUAUGAUAAAAAGAAAGUAAAGAGAAGAGUGUCCAGAAAAAUAGAGUCAGAAAGUUUCAAAGAGAAAAAGAGUCAAUAAAAGAGAAAAAGAAGAAGUCAGAAUCAAGCAAAAGAACAAGCUGCCAGAACUGACCUGAUUCUCCUCUUUUGGGGGUGAGAUACGUAGGCUGCCCUACUCUGGGCUCGGUCCAACCAAAUAAACAAUUUAGUAUUGCCCAGUCAAAAGAAACUAGGGCAUGAGUUAAUCCUCAUUGUUUGAGUCAAUUCCAAAAGUUGUAAGUCCUACCCCACAUCAAGUGUUGUUUGGGUGUCAUGUCAUCCUUUCUUUCUGACCUUAUCCAAAAGCCAAGUUACAACCAAAGAAAGACCUUCAGAUCAAUCUCUGAGAAUGCUAAGGCUAAGCAUGCAAUGGAUAUGAUGACAUAUUUUCUUCCUCAGCAUAAGAAAUCAGGAGAGAAAUAAAAAUAAGAGAGUCUUAUUGGUGAAAACCCUUAAGGGCACCAUAAGACAAUAGUAAGUUGAGAGAGAUAAAAAUGAGUGAGUCUUAUUGGUAAAAACCCCACGGGUACCAUAAGGAGAUGGUGACUUGAGAGAAAAAUGAGAGAGGCUUGUUGGCAAAAAUCCUUCAAUGUGCCACUAAUGAAUGAGCUCUUCGAAUGCAACAGGUCCAAGCAAGUAACUUAGUUUCAGAGCCAUUAACUCAAGAAUAAUUAGUAUAAAGUUUGGAUGGAAAGAUCAGGCAACUUGAUCCAAAAUGCAUGGCAUAAUCAUUAGAGUUGACUGUCAUUUCUAGAUAAAUUUUUCAUUUCUUUAUUUCAAAUGGGGACAUUCAUUGUCUUUUCUUUCUUCUCUUUAUUUUUUAUUUUCUUUAGUCAGUUGUACAAAUAACAAAUCAUUGUUAUUUUUUCUCUUGUCUUUGAGUCAAGUCCAUGUCAAAACAAGUGAGAAAUAUUUCAAAACUGGCUACCAGUUUCUUCAAUUGCGCAAAGCAAGACAAAAGGCCAACACAUAAAAGAGACAUAAUUGCGAUCCAAAAUAAGACAUGCAGAAAGUUUUGUCAACCGACAAGUCUAGGAACUCAUGGAAAUACCAAGGUUCAAAGGGUUUAUCUGAGAACCAGGACAAAGCAAAGAUAUUGUAUCUGUUUCAGAGUCACUCUUAAUAAUCUGAGUUCGGGUCUAUGAUGCAGCGAGCCAGUAACACAUGCUAAUGGUUGAAAGCAAGAUUAAAUGUGACAGGGGCAAGAGCGAUUUUCACGAAAUCCAAAUCCACAAACCAGCCACCAUGUUUUUAAACUAACAAGUUUUCUUUGUAUGAAACAGGAACACAUGCUACCUUCGAAUCAAGGAUUUCAAAGCCUAAACAUCAAAGGCCGUAAUAUUCUCACUUCUACAAAUGCAGGAGGCAAUGUUGUUGCACAUAUUUGGUAUUCAAAACCAUGGUAAAACUUAUAAUACAAUAUCUCUAGGAGAUACACUUCCUUAUUUGGGUAAUUCAAGCAACAUUUGUAAGGAAAGGCACUUCCUUGUUUGGGUAAAGCAAUAUUUGUAAGAGGACGCACUUCCUUAUUUGGGUAAUUCAAGCAACAUUUGUAAGGAGAUGCACUUCCUUGUUUAGGUAAUUCAAGUGACAUUUGUUAGGAGAUGAACUUCCCUGUUUGGGCAAUUCAAGCAGCAUUUAUGAGGAGAUGUAUUUUCUUAUUUGGGGCAAUUCAAGUGACAUUUGUGAGGAGACGCACUUCCUUGUUUGGGUAAUUCAAGCGAUAUUGGUGAGGAGACAUACUUCCUUGGUUGGAUAAUUCAAGAAACAUUUGUAAGGGGACGCAUUUCCUUAUUUGGGUAAUUCAAGCAACAUUUGUAAGGAGAUGCACUUAUUUGUGUAGGUAAUUAAAGCGACAUUGGUAAGGAGAUACAUUUUCUUGUUUGGGUAAUUCAAGAGACAUUUGUUAAGAGACACACUUCCUUGUUUUGAUAAUUCAAGCGGCAUUGGUAAGGAGAUGUACUUCCUUGUUUGGUAAUUCAAGCAGUAUCAUAAAGAGACGUACUUCCUUGUUUAGGUAAUUCAAGCGGCAUUGGUAAGGAGAUGCACUUCCUUGUUUUGGUAAUUCAAGCGGCAUUUGUGAGGAGACGCACUUCCUUGUUCAGUAAUCCAAGCAACAUUUGUAAGGAGAUGUACUUCCUUAUUUGGGUAACUCAAUCAACAUUGGUAAGGAGACGCACUUCCUUAUUUGGGUAAUUCAAGCAUUUAUAAGGAGAUGCACUUCCUUGUGUGGGAAAUUCAAGCAACAUUUGUAGGGAGAUGCACUUCCUUGUUUGGGUAAUUCAAGCAUUUCUAAGAAGACUCAUUUCCUUGGGUAAUUCAAGUAGCAUUUGUUGGGAGACACACUUCCUUUUCAGUUUUCAUUUGUCAGGAGCCCGCCAAAGAACACGGCGAAUACAUAAAACCAAGCAGCAAGUUAAAGAAAUUGCAAGUCAGGAGCCCAUCUGAAGAACAGGGUGAUGAAACUCAAGUCAAGAGUCUAGAGAAGCUGUAUAGAUAGGAUUUUAUAAUUUUAUUUAUAUUUUUAACUUGUAAUUUUUAUUUUUUAUGUAAUAACAGAUCCGCGAACCAGAGCCUCGACGGGACCUCACUCGACUCUUCAACUCGGUUGUCCUUCUUUCUUUUCUUUCUUCCUUGUGAUUAAUAGUCGAGUCAAAAUUCUGUCUCGUUGUCUACUUCUUUGUAUGAAAACACUUUGUGUUUACAUGCAAAGAGGGGCAUGAUGUAGACACGUAAUUUUAUCCUCCCCAAAAAUAUUUUUUACCACUUUAUCCCCGUCUUAUUGCAUGCCCUCACCCAUGUGAUUAUAUCCCACAAAAAUACAAAAAAUAACAACUCUUAACAAAAUCCCUAACAAUUUUUAUUUUGUUUUAAACACCCUAACAACCUCUCCAAUUAAAAAAGAAUACCUCACACCUCACCACCCAAUACCCUACCUCACCCCUACCUUACGUGACCUCACCCCACCUCACAAUUCACACACGGUGAGCCUUCCAGGAAAUUUUCACACACAUACUCACUAUUACAUACAUCCAUAGCAUAUAAAGAAAAGGGGGAGCUGGUCAUUUUUAUUUUUCAAUUCAUCACAAUACACACUGGCACUAUUUUCUUCCUCGCAACACACACAUAGCUACACGUAAAUCACAUAUAUAAACAGUAACAAGCACACACAGCCAUCUCCAUCAAUACACCUUACUCAUCGGAGUUCGUGCGCACACACCCAUAAAAACGCUGAAAAUAAGAGAAUCUAGCAGAGAGAUAGAUAAACGGGGAGAGAGGGAGAGAAAAGAGCCAACGGGGCCUAAAAAUUUUCCCAUCUCCUUCGAUUUUCUUCCAGUGCCGAGCUUGUUGGAGCUCCGGAUAAAUGCUAGCAGUGACCCAACUCCCUUCCAUCACCAAAAUCAGCGACUAGUAGCGCUAUUUCACACCUCCGUUCAAGUUUUUCGUUUGAUCGCUUGAUUUGUCGAUCGAGGUUUGCGAGUUAGUCGUGAUUGAGGUUCCGAUUAGUUUCCAAAUCUGUUUCGGGGUCAAAUUCAACACCAAAUGGGGUUUUGUUCAAAGUUGAUUUAAGUCGAGGUUCUGAAUACGUGAAGCUCCUCCGUUUGAUUGAAUAAAAGCGACACUAAGGACCAUUCUUCAUCUCAUUCUCAAUUAAUUCUUAAUUUUGUGAUACUUGGCGUGGUAAAUUCAUGGUGUGUGGAUUUUAUUUUAUUUGAUUUCGAUAUGUCUUGGAUCAUCGUAGUUAGUUGUUGAUACCCAUUGAUUGAUUGUUGUGAAUUGAAAUAAUCAAAGAACUUAGACUCGAUUUGGGGUUAAAUUGCAAUUUGGGGU